rnacentral:rRNA from 1 species
UACGAAGGGGGGCUAGCGUUGCUCGGAAUGACUGGGCGUAAAGGGCGCGUAGGCGGCGGUCACAGUCAGAUGUGAAAUUCCCGGGCUCAACCUGGGGGCUGCGCUUGAUACAUGUACGCUUGAGUUCGGAAGAGGGUCGUGGAAUUCCCAGUGUAGAGGUGAAAUUCGUAGAUAUUGGGGAAGAAUACCGGGUGGCGAAGGCGGCGACCUGGUCCGAUACUGACGC